rnacentral:rRNA from 1 species
ACGUAGGGUGCGAGCGUUAAUCGGAAUUACUGGGCGUAAAGCGUGCGCAGGCGGUUUGUUAAGCAAGGCGUGAAAUCCCCGGGCUUAACCUGGGAAUGGCGCUUGGAACUGGCAGUCUAGAGUACGGCAGAGGGGGGUGGAAUUCCACGUGUAGCAGUGAAAUGCGUAGAGAUGUGGAGGAACACCGAUGGCGAAGGCAGCCCCCUGGGCCGAUACUGACGCUCAUGCACGAAAGCGUGGGGAGCAAACAG